CGCAUCUGUGCAUGCAGCAUAUCAAUAAGCGGAGGAAAAGAAACUAACAAGGAUUCCCUUAGUAACGGCGAGUGAAGCGGGAAGAGCUCAAAUUUGAAAUCUUCAAGGUUUUACCUUGACGAAUUGUAGUUUAAAGAAGUGUUUUCUGUUGAAGUUUUGGUAAAAGUUCUUUGGAAUAGGACAUCAUAGGAGGGUGAGAAUCCCGUAUUUGACCAUUAUUUUCAGCUGUGUGAUACACUUUCAAAGAGUCGGAUUGUUUGGGAAUGCAGUCCAAAAUGGGUGGUAAAUUUCAUCUAAAGCUAAAUAUUGGCGAGAGACCGAUAGCGAACAAGUACCGUGAGGGAAAGAUGAAAAGAACUUUGAAAAGAGAGUUAAACAGUACGUGAAAUUGUCAAAAGGGAAGCGUUUGACACCAGUGUUGUUUUCUCGAAAAUCAAUUAAAAAGAGUUAGAUUUUGUUGUGUAUUGACCUUAACAGCUUGCAUUUCAAUUUUCUUGCUUUUUUUAAUGCACUUUUCGUUUAACAAGUCAACAUCAGUUUCUUUUGUUGUAAAAAGGUCAUUGGAAGGUGGCUUUCUUUUCGGAGAAAGUGUUUAUAGCCUUUGACUCCUGCAAUCGGAGAGACUGAGGUCUGCAGCGUAGAUCCUUCGGGGUUAGAUACAUUUGUGCUAAGUUAUAGCUUUUUAUAGACAACUUGUUGACUAUGAUUAGUCUUGUAGCUUACUCGCUUAUGCUAUUUUACCUACGCUUAGGAUGUUGAACUCUAUCACACACAG
rnacentral:rRNA from 1 species